CCUACGGGAGGCAGCAGUGGGGAAUAUUGGGCAAUGGGCGCAAGCCUGACCCAGCAAUGCCGCGUGAAGGAAGAAGGCUUUCGGGUUGUAAACUUCUUUGACAGGGGAAGAGCAGAAGACGGUACCCUGAAAAUAAGCUACGGCUAACUACGUGCCAGCAGCCGCGGUAAUACGUAGGUGGCAAGCGUUGACCGGAUUUACUGGGUGUAAAGGGCGUGUAGCCGGGAAGGCAAGUCAGAUGUGAAAUCUGGAGGCUCAACCUCCAAAUUGCAUUUGAAACUGGUUUUCUUGAGUACGGGAGAGGCAGACGGAAUUCCUGGUGUAGCGGUGAAAUGCGUAGAUAUAAGGAGGAACACCAGUUGCGAAGGCGGUCUGCUGGACAGCAACUGACGGUGAGGCGCGAAAGCGUGGGGAGCAAACAGGAUUAGAUACCCUUGUAGUC
rnacentral:rRNA from 1 species